rnacentral:rRNA from 1 species
UGAGGAAUAUUGGGCAAUGCCCGCAAGGGUGACCCAGCAACGCCGCGUGGAGGAUGAAGGUCGUAAGAUUGUAAACUCCUGUUAGAGGGGACGAAUAGCUGUGAUUCGUAAGGAUCAUAGUUUGACUGUACCCUCAGAGAAAGCCCCGGCUAACUACGUGCCAGCAGCCGCGGUAAUACGUAGGGGGCAAGCGUUGUCCGGAUUUACUGGGUGUAAAGGGCGCGUAGGCGGACUUAUAAGUCGGUGGUGAAAACCUGCAGCUUAACUGCAGACCUGCCAUUGAUACUGUAAGCCUUGAGUGCGGAAGAGAGAGACGGAAUUCCAGGUGUAGUGGUGAAAUACGUAGAUAUCUGGAAGAACAUCAGUUGCGAAGGCGGUCUCUUGGUCCGUUACUGACGCUGAGGCGCGAAAGCGUGGGUAGCAAACAGG